GGUGCUAGCUUGCCUUGCUCGAUAGAUUUUGAGACUUCUAAUUGUCAUAGGAUAAGGUCACCAUAUUUGAAAGACUUCGGCUUCACCCGAGAGUUGUAGUAACGAGCCACUCUUUGUUGGUAAGAGGUCAUUCUGAUCUGAGCCCAUCCUCUAACUUUCUUGAGGAGAUCGAGUUUAGCACAGAGGUGAUCGAAAUUUUCAAUCUAGUUGAAGCUUUCCAC
rnacentral:lncRNA from 1 species